AUCGUUUGUAAGCAUGAUGACCGGGUUUCAUGCUCCUCCAUAGGAUGGGCCUCCCUCGGACCUUGUUACGUUGUUGGCACAUUACUUGUGUGACG
rnacentral:snoRNA from 1 species